GAUGAACGCUGGCGGCGUGCCUAAUACAUGCAAGUCGAGCGAACGGACGAGAAGCUUGCUUCUCUGAUGUUAGCGGCGGACGGGUGAGUAACACGUGGAUAACCUACCUAUAAGACUGGGAUAACUUCGGGAAACCGGAGCUAAUACCGGAUAAUAUUUUGAACCGCAUGGUUCAAAAGUGAAAGACGGUCUUGCUGUCACUUAUAGAUGGAUCCGCGCUGCAUUAGCUAGUUGGUAAGGUAACGGCUUACCAAGGCAACGAUGCAUAGCCGACCUGAGAGGGUGAUCCGCCACACUGGAACUGAGGCGCGGUCCAGACUCCUACGGGAGGCAGCAGUAAGGAAUCUUCCGCAAUGGGCGAAAGCCUGACGGAGCAACGCCGCGUGAGUGAUGAAGGUCUUCGGAUCGUAAAACUCUGUUAUUAGGGAAGAACAUAUGUGUAAGUAACUGUGCACAUCUUGACGGUACCUAAUCAGAAAGCCACGGCUAACUACGUG
rnacentral:rRNA from 1 species